AACUGCCAUUGGCUGAAAGUUCCAUUGGCAUUGGCCUGUGCAGCCAGCUAACCCAUAGAACAAGCAGUUCUCACAAAGACCAUUCAGGGGGAUCUGAAGAUCCGAGGCCAGCAUGUUCCUGCUCUACCUUGAGAAGACAGAGAUAGCUUUCUAUCUCUUCAACUCAACCAAUGUUUAUUGGCCAACAGAUGCUCCAUAUACAGAGCCCUUCACCAAGCAUCCUGGAGGAAAACAAAUGAAGUGAUGCCAACCCUACACUUCUGGUAAAUGACACAAGAGCACAGAUAAUACUUAAAGAGGGAUCAUGAUCUCAUAGCUCUGGACCACUUCUGGAGCAGAGCUAUUCUCUACUGGAGGACUUGAGUUUUGUAAAAGUCCCUGUGAUUGGGAGGAUGAGGAGAAAGACAAAGGAAGGGAGGAGUUCUGCCAAAGAGAAUUGACCAGCGAACAUGAAGAGCUACUCAAUCAGGAAACGUAAAAGGAGUGAAAAAAAAUGAAGACCUGGAUGAUUCCAAGAAUUGUCCAAAAUCUCAGAGGUAGUUGGCAAUAGAGCCAAAACUAGAGCUCUACUUUCUGGCUCCUGGAUUGUGCUCUUUCUCUUGGCUCAUACAACUAAUGAGAAAAGUAAGAUGACAAGCUCAUUGGGGAAGACUUCCAUUCUCAAGAUGGCCCAGUAAGGAAGCUGCCGUCAUCAACCCUCCCAAAUUCCCCUCCAAACAGCACUUUUCUUCAGUUUCACAAGAAGCUGUGGAGGAGAGAAUCACCUCACCUGACCAGGGCAGCCUGGAGGACCAGCAUGAGAGGUCUGUCUCACUGGGGUGGGAGCAGGCAGGAGGGAGUGAGGGCAGACCACACCCCAGUGGCCACAUGGGACCCUACCUGCUUCAGGCCCCCAACCAGCCAGCAAGCCACCUGUAGGCUGCACUCCCAGGGCCAAUCAGAACCCCCACCCUUGGGGGAUGGGCCAGUUGUGAGGCUUCACCCCCAAAACUGUCCAGCAAGCUCUUCUCCUGAAGAUGUCCAGCAGUGAGUUCUGCCUCAUUACAAACCCACAAUAAGAUCUCCCACCAAUGCAGGGCAGCAGUGAAGCUUCCUAUCAAUGCAAGCCAGCAGGGGAAAUCCCCUACUAAUGUAAGCCAAUAGAUCUGAGGGCUUAGUGUAAAUCAAAAGCAAAGCCCCUAGCCCAGGCACAAGAAACAUGGAAUGACAUCCUCUCCAAUUCACAAACAGGGCUCAACUUUACUAUACAUUAAAAUAUCACAAAAUAAACUGAGAAGAAAUGAACAAAAAAUAAAGAAGCUGACUCAAUAGUUACUAUAGUGAUAAGAUACAAACAUAGAAGAGGACAGGUGUUGACGAAAUAGCUAUAUGUGAAGCACCAAAGGAAAAUAUGAAUUGGUCUCCAACCCCAAAAGAUCUAAUGGAAGAACUCAAAAAGGACUUUAAAAAUCAGAGUUAGAAGAAAAAAAAAUUUUUGUGGGGGGGGGAGGUGAAUAAUGCAAAAAACCAUGAAAAAAGAAUCAACACCUUAAUAAAGAAACCACAAAAUAGGAAAAGAUAUCCAAAAAUUUGCUGAGAAAAACAACUCUUUAAAAAGUAGAAUUGGCCAAAUAGAAAAGUAGAUACAUAAGUUCACUGUUGAUAAUAAUUCCUUAGAAAUUAGAAUUAGAGAAAUGGAAAAGAAUGACUCCAUGAGGCUUCAAGAAACAAUCAAAUGAGCAAAAGAGUGGGGAAAAAAGAUGAAAAUGUUAAAUUUCUCAUUAGAAAAAGAAAUGACCUAGAAAAUAGAUCAAGGAGAAACAAUUUAAGAAUUAUUGGACUGCCUAAAAACCAAGAGCAUAAAAGAACCUAGAUAUAAUACUAAGAGAAAUUAUUAAGGAAAACUGCUCUGGUAUCCUAGAAUCAGAGAAUGUAAUAAAAAUGAAAAUAAUCCACCAAUCACCUCCUGAAAGAGAUCCUAAAAGGAAAAAUUCCAGAAAUGUUAUAGUCAAAUUCCAGAGCUUCCAGACAAAGAAAAAAAAAUCAGGCAGUCAGAAAGAAACAAUUCAGAUAUCAUGGAACCAUAAUCAGUACUACACAGAACUCAUCAGUUUUUAUCUUAAAAGAUUGCAGAGCUUGGAAUAUGACAUUCCAGAAGGCAAAGGAACUAGGACUGCAACCUGGAAUCAUUUACCCAGCAAAACUUAGCAUAAUACUUCCAGUGAAAAACAGAUGUUUAAUGACAUUGAGAACUUUAAGAUUUCAUUAUUAAGAAGACCAGAGCUCCAUAGAAAAUAUUACAUUCAAACAGAAGACUCAAGAGAAGCAUGAGAAGGUAAAUAGGAAAGAGAAAAUGAAAGGAUUCAAUAAAUUUAAAUUGCUAAACUUAUUCUUAUGUGAGAAGAUCAUACUUAUAAUUGCUGUAAUCUUUAUCAAUAUUUGGACAAUUAGGAGGAAUAUUCAUAGAUAGAGAAAUGGGAGGAGAGGGGGAUAGAGAGAAUCUACCCUCAAGGAACUUACUAUCUACUCAUUGGAAAACCAGAUGCUGUUAUCUGUUCUUUGGAAAAUUUCAUCAUCCUAUAUGAACUUUGGUUUACAGACUACGGAAAGAAACAUUAACAGAAUUUUGAAUGACUCAAUAGGAAAUGUGAAAUAAGCCUACAAGGUUAUAAUACAACCAAGAGAGAAUUUUGCUGCCACCCAGAGCCUGGAUGGACACUUGUGAGCAGUGGAAACAGAGGAAAGGCUUUUGCUCUGUAGGCAAGGUAUUUCUGAAGUUUUCUUCCCAAAACACAAAGCAGCACUGGGCUGCUACAUCUAAUGCUACAUUUUCAGACUAAAGCCUUCCAGGGCCUAAGUAAGAGACCCCUAAAAAGCUAUCUCUUUACUGAUCAUUUUCCAGUAAUAUGAUAAAUGUCUGUAGUCCAUUAUAAAAUUGUUCAUAUAAUAGAGUCAUAAAAUAUUAGUUGAAAAGAAACUUAGAGAUUUUGUCAUCCAACUUCUUCAUCCUUUUGAUAAGUGAAAAAGUCUCAUAGUUAUUUAGUUAGUGGCAGAGUGAAGUUCAGGAUCUUCUUUCCCUUUCAUUAAAACCUGUUGCUGGGGCAGCUAAGGUAGCCUAGUGAUAGAGAGCUAGGACUGAAGUCAGGAGGUCCUGGGUUCAAAUCUGGAUUCAGCCACUUCCUACCUAUGUGACUCUGGGCAAGUCUUUGCCCAGCCUUUACCAUUCUUCUAUCUUGGAACUGAUACUUAGUAUUGUUUAUAAGACAGAAGAUAAGGAUUAAAAAAAACAUACCCAAGCCUAUUGCCAAAGUGAUGCAUACCCAAAAGACAAUCUUCAGAUAAAGCCAGACAGAAGGCUUUAUUUUACCAUUUGAAUUUUACAUUUUUCUUGUUCAUUUAUUCUCUAAUUUAUGUGCCAAAUAUUACUUCUCCAAUCUGUUUUAGGAGUAGACUAGAAGAAGCUUAGCGUGGCUCUCUUCAGCCUUUUCUCAACACCCUACCUUUCUUAUUCUUCUGGAGAGAAGUUUUAUUUUUUUCUUAUUAUUGAUAAGAUUCUGAGAUUUAGCACCCUGAUCAUUAAAAAGGGUAUCAUCAUGUAGAGUCAAGAGUCUACUUUCUCUUGAAAUUAUGACCACCAUCCCCCAGGCUUGAAAAUUGGAGAACCUUGAAGUCCUUCAAGUCCCAGUUAGCCACUUACUAGGUAUGUGACAUUGGGUAAGUCAUUGACUCUUCGUUUCAUUUUCUUUAUUUCUUUUCAUUCAUGUAUUUGCCUGGAUCUAUCAAGUCAUCCAUGUAGGGGAUUCUCUUUUCCCAAGUAGAUAUGCUGCUAUGUUCAGCAAUUCAGAGUUAAUUUUAUUUUUUUGAAGAGUUGCCAAACUGAAGAGAGAUAUGAGGAAAUGUGACAUUGCUCUUGACCUUAAGGAGAUAAGUUGUAGUUAGGAAGUCAAAAUGUGAAAUAUUCAGACAUCAAUAUAAAUUCUUACUCAGUGUCCAGAGACAGAGAUUACUGAGGGCUGGAACAGUUGGGGAAGUUUUCAUAAAGGAGAUAAAAGCUUUAGCUUGGUUCUGAGGAUUGGGAGAAUAGGCUUUGGAUCAGCUAUGAAGAAGAGGGUUGAACUCCUUCCAGGUAUGAGGAACAUGAGUGAAUUUGGACAGGGAAUAAGUAGUUUCCAUUUUUUCCUUCAGACAUCAAUUUUCUGUCCCAUCUUAGCAUACUUUGUAGAGGAAGUCACAUAUCUUAAGAACUAAAUUUGUGAUUAUGUAUAUUCCAUAAUGUUAUUAAUUACUCUUAUUAUAAGACUCACAAACUUACUACAGCUGUUAACAUCUUAACAUUGUCUCUUUGCCUACAAGGCACUCUAAUUUUGGAAUCAUUCUGGUCACUUGUGUCUAUCUGGUAAGCAAAUUUUCAAGUCUGUAGACAUUGAAUUCAACAGAUCCAAAACUAGUCUCCUCUUUCCCACCAAAUCUGUUUUCUCCUGUGCCACCAUCCUUCUAUUUAACCAGGACUGAACACUCAAAGUAACUAUCACCCUCUCUAAUCAUAUAGCAAAGCUUUACCAAUUUUAACCACUACAAUCUUUCUCUUAUUUAUACCAAUCUUUCCAUUCAUGUGUCUGCUUUUCUAGUAUCAGGUCCUCAUCACCUGAAACUUGUGAAAAUUAACUUGUCUUUCUGAUGUGACCAAUUUCUCCCCCCUCUAAUUUAUUCUUCACAAAGUUAACAAAAUAACAUUCCUAAUAUACAGAUCUGAUUAUAUCUAGUCCCCCAAAUCUCUAAAGGUUUUCCAUUAUAAAUAGCCUGGCAUCUAAAACUCUCCUUAAUCUAUCUUUAACAUAACUUUCCAUACUUAUUUUAUUCUUUUCCCUUUCAUAUACUAUAGUAUAGCCAAACUGGACAUUUCUCUAUACCUUUGAGCAAGUCCAUGCCACACUACUGUCAUUAUUUCCCUUUACAUUCUAAUUCCUCCAAAUUACUUUUGUUGUUUUUUUCUAGUUCUAGAAAGUAUUUCUUUGUGAGUCUGAUUUGUAUAGUCUAAGAUCUGUAGACUAAUUUGUGCCAUCAUUUGAAUUUUAUUGCUGUAGCCCAGCCAUGAGAACUGAAUACUACUCAAAUUAUGUAAGUAAUUUUUUGUUUCUUUGAAGAAUAUUUUCUUUUCAUUUUCUACUUUAUGGUUUUAUUUCUACAUUCUUUAAAAAAACAUUAUUUUAUUUGGUUAUUUCCAAACAUUAUUCAUUGGAAACAAAGAUAAUUUUCUUCCCCCCCCUCCCCCCCUCUCCCAUAA